AAUUAAAAAAAAAUGUGUUCCUUCAUUCGAGCAAACAUGAAAAUAAUAUGGUGAUAAGCGCGAUUGUAAGAUGAGUUCCCCAUUAUUGCUACUGAAAUUUGGGCAAUAGAAUUUGUCCACAAGGAUCAUAUAACAACACAUAUCUCAAACUUGGACACAUUUGUUAUUUAAUGCUUCGUGUCUAACGUAUAAUAUCAAAUAGAUCAAGUUAGCACUUACUCCUAUAAUAACAAUAUUGCAUCUAUGCAAUCAUCUAGUAACAAUUAAAUGUCUUUGUUGGGUCUCACACACAUCAGCACAUGCACGAUUACCGAUGGCCAUCUUACAACUACUGAUGACGUCACGCGCAGGCUUUCGCCAGGCACCGCUGCGCUACCCGGCGUUACUGUACAGAAGCCAAUAGUCUUUUUUAGAAAUUAAAGGAAAAAGUAAGUUAUUUAUUGACUGACCUACGUAUAAUGUCAACGACAUUAUUAAAUCCUUUGAUUCUUACUCGCUAAAGUCUGGGAAGGGG
rnacentral:misc_RNA from 1 species